UGGGCAAUUUAUAAAGAAAAAAGAGGUU
rnacentral:piRNA from 1 species